CCUACGGGGGGCAGCAGUGGGGAAUAUUGCACAAUGGGUGGAACCCUGAUGCAGCGACGCAGCGUGGGUGAAGGAGUAUUUCGGUAUGUAAAGCCCUAUCAGCAGGGAAGAACAAUGACGGUACCUGACUAAGAAGCACCGGCUCCAUACGUGACAGCAGCCGCGGUAAUACGGAUGGUGCGAGCGUUAUCCGGAUGUACUGGGUGUAAAGGGGGCGCAGGCGGCUGCGCAAGCCAGGUGUGACAGCCCGGGGCCCAACCCCGGGACUGCUCUUGAAACUGGGGGGCUGGAGUGCAGGAGGGGCAGGCGGAAUUCCUGGUGUAGCGGUGAAAUGCGUAGAUAUCAGGAGGAACACCGGUGGCGAAGGCGGGCGGCUGGAGUGCGACUGACGUUGAGGCCCGAAAGCGUGGGGAGCAAACAGGAUUAGAUACCCCUGUAGUC
rnacentral:rRNA from 1 species